rnacentral:rRNA from 1 species
CUUAGAGUUUGAUCCUGGCUCAGAAUGAACGCUGGCGGCGUGCCUUACACAUGCAAGUCGAGCGAGGCGGCCCGCAAGGGUCAGUCGAGCGGCGAACGGGUGAGUAACACGUGGAUACCCUGCCCAGAGGUGGGGGAUAACCCGGGGAAACUCGGGCUAAUACCGCAUGAUAUCCCGCUCUGCGGGAUCAAAGGGGGCUCGCAAGGGCUCUCGCCAUUGGAGGGGUCCGCGUCCGAUUAGCUAGUUGGUAGGGUAAUGGCCUACCAAGGCGACGAUCGGUAGCCGGCCUGAGAGGGUGAUCGGCCACACUGGAACUGAGACACGGUCCAGACUCCUACGGGAGGCAGCAGUGGGGAAUUUUGCGCAAUGGGCUAACGCCUGACGCAGCAACUGCCGCGUGGAGGAUGAAGGUCUUUGGAUUGUAAACUACUGUCAGCAGGGAAAAAGCGACCUGACCUCAUCGG